rnacentral:ncRNA from 1 species
GUAUUGCAUAAUAGCAGGCAUUUUCCUUAACAAGGAUGGAAGUGGUUCUAGUGACCUAUAAAAUACACACAUGGUUAAGGAAUUGCCAACAACUUUGUGGCAUCUAACCAUGAUUUUUA